GCCGACGUAGCUCAACGGUAGAGCGUCUGAUUUGUAAUCAGAUGGUUGGGGGUUCGAUUCCCUUCGUCGGCUCCA
rnacentral:tRNA from 1 species